AAGUCGUAACAAGGUUUCCGUAGGUGAACCUGCGGAAGGAUCAUUAAAAAGAUAUUUUUUUUAUCUUAUUUAUUUUAGAAGCCGCGUGCGUUCAGCAUGUCAAUCUAAAUAAACACCCCUCUGCGUACCUUAUACCUGGUUGCUUCCGCGAAGACUGAGGGGAGGAGAGAAGGACUUUGUUUUCCCUUUCUUCCUCACAUCCUCGCGAAAGGCAUACUUUUCAAACCUUUUUUUUGUCAAUUUAAUAUGUGUAAAUUUGUCUGAUUUUUUGCGGCACGUAAAACCUGCACGCAAAACAUUUUUAUUUAAAAACAAGUUAAAACUUUCAACAACGGAUCUCUUGGUUCUCGCAUCGAUGAAGAACGCAGCGAAAUGCGAUAAGUAGUGUGAAUUGCAGAAUUCAGUGAAUCAUCGAAUCUUUGAACGCACAUUGCGCCUUCCUGAUUUAUUCCGGGAGGCAUGCCUGUCCGAGCGUCAUCAAAACACCUCAAGCCUGAUUUUAUAUUCUCCAUAAAAGAAAAAACAUUAAUUUUUUUUUUCUUUGAGGGGAAUAUCUGCAGUGCCUUGGUCAUGAAGGCCGAGUAGGCGAAAGCCUUGCUCCCCCUCGAAUUUCAAUGGCGGACCAACCUUUCGAGUGUUUUUUGGGCCGGUGUAGUAAAAUUAACCUUUCUCACCUAAAUCCAAAAAGCUCUUUGAAAAUGAUUGCGUCCAGCCGGCUUUAACCCAAUCCAUUUAAAACCAUGUUUUGACCUCGGAUCAGGUAGGGAUACCCGCUGAACUUAAGCAUAUCAAUAAGCGGAGGAAAAGAAACCAACAGGGAUUGCCUCAGUAACUGCGAGUGAAGCGGCAAAAGCUCAAAUUUGAAAUCUGGCGUCCUUCGGGCGUCCGAAUUGUAAUUUGGAGGAGCGUCUUCGGGGGCGGGCACCGUCCUAAGUUCCGUGGAACCGGACGUCACAGAGGGUGAGAAUCCCGUGCCUGGGCGGCUGUCCGUUCCCAUGUGAAGUGCUUCCGACGAGUCGAGUUGUUUGGGAAUGCAGCUCAAAAUGGGUGGUAAAUUUCAUCUAAAGCUAAAUAUUGGCGAGAGACCGAUAGCGCACAAGUAGAGUGAUCGAAAGAUGAAAAGCACUUUGAAAAGAGAGUUAAAAAGUACGUGAAAUUGUUGAAAGGGAAGCGCUUGAGAUCAAACUCGGUCUUUGGUGAAGUUGCGAGUUCGCUCGUAGCCUCUCGCCUUUGACCGGGCCAGCAUCGGUUUUGACGGCGGGAGAAACGGUAGGGGAAUGUGGCUCCCUUCGGGGAGUGUUAUAGCCCCUGCCAAAUGCCGCCAGUUGGGACCGAGGACCGCGCUUCGGCUAGGAUGUUGGCGUAAUGGUCUUAAGCGAC
rnacentral:rRNA from 1 species